ACGAUGAUGCAAUGAGGCUGCUGCUUGGUGUCCCUAGGUGGCAUAGUGCCAGUCAGCUGUUUGUGUCCACUAGAGUGACGACCUGUGAGACACUCUUAAGACAACUGAUGUUUAGUUUUAUGUGUCGUCUGGACAAGUCAGAGAACCUUAUAAUUGAAGCCUUAGUCAGCCCUAUGAAA